rnacentral:rRNA from 1 species
AGUGAACGCUGGCGGUAGGCCUAACACAUGCAAGUCGAACGGCAGCACAGUAAGAGCUUGCUCUUACGGGUGGCGAGUGGCGGACGGGUGAGGAAUAAAUCGGAAUCUACUUUUUCGUGGGGGAUAACGUAGGGAAACUUACGCUACUACCGCAUACGACCUACGGGUGAAAGCAGGGGAUCUUCGGACCUUGCGCGAUUGAAUGAGCCGAUGUCGGAUUAGCUAGUUGGCGGGGUAAAGGCCCACCAAGGCGACGAUCCGUAGCUGGUCUGAGAGGAUGAUCAGCCACACUGGAACUGAGACACGGUCCAGACUCCUACGGGAGGCAGCAGUGGGGAAUAUUGGACAAUGGGCGCAAGCCUGAUCCAGCCAUACCGCGUGAGUGAAGAAGGCCUUCGGGUUGUAAAGCCCUUUUGUUGGGAAAGAAAAGCAGCAGGUUAAUACCCCGCUGUUCUGACGGUACCCAAAGAAUAAGCACCGGCUAACUUCGUG